UUUCCUGAAAUCUUCCAUCUUGGAAAAUUAUUAGGUGUCUUACAAAUGAGUGUCUUAGAAAUGAGUGAUUAAAACACUUCUCCCAUCAGGGAAAGGUAUCUAAAUAAUUUGAUUGUAAGUAUAAGGAAGAUCUGAUUAAAGAUUUUUCUUAUGUAAUAUUUUCACGAAAUAAAGAGUUUUGUUUAUAUAUCUUCUAUCCAAUUCAUAUGUUAGCCCCAAGUGAAGGUUGUGAUAUUCUGCCUUAUCGGAGGAAAGACAAUAGAAUAGCGCCAGAAUGAGUGUCAUCAUAGGCUAAACAAUCUUUCAUUGCUGAUGAAGGAAAAGUAUAGUGAUACUAAUACAGCUAGCAAAAGAAGAAGUCGAAAGGUAUAAAUAUUAAACUCCAAGUUUUCAUGAAACUAUUAGCAUAAGGAGAAAUCUAUCUUCAUGUCUUCUAAUACUUAUUCAUACAUAUUAUAUGAUACUAAGUACCUACAGGGAAUAAAGAUUAUCAUGAAAUUUUUAAUAUUUCAAUGAAUUAUUAUACUAUUUUUCUUGAUGAAAAAAAGAAAUUAAUCACCAUUUUAAUGGUAAUUAAAUUAAACAGAGAUUUGCAAGAGAAAAUUCUUGAAAAAAUCAUAGAUAACCUUGUUCAAGAAGAAUGGUCUAUAAGUGAUUAUUUAUAUAUAGAUAAUGAUGAUGAAUUAUACUAUUUGUAUGAUGAAAACCAUUUCACUGACCAAAUCAAAUAAAAUUCCGCAUACCCUGUUUGCAAACAACNNNNNNNNNNNNNNNNNNNNNNNNNNNNNNNNNNNNNNNNNNNNNNNNNNNNNNNNNNNNNGUGCUCAUUUGUACUGGAAGUUGCAAGAUUUUGAUUACACUGCUUUUGAUCCAUAAUUAUAUUGCAAUUAUCGAUUUUGAGAAGAGCACGCACAUAUGCUAAAAGUUGUUUACUUGUGCACACGAAAGUUAGAGGGCACGAAAGUUAGAGGGCAUAGGUACAAGCUAAGACCAACUUAUAGAACAUCUUAUAAAUUAUGUCUUUUUCGUUUAUUAUUAUUGGGGCUGUGUAUAUAUUCUUAAGACCUUUUUGUGCUCAAAUUAUAUUCACAGGAGAGCUCCUUGCUUUAUUUCUUUCAUUUUUGUUUAUAGGUUGAACUAUUUGUAAUAUUGUAUUGAUGAGGAUUCUUUACUAUCCUUCGUUGUGAUCUUAUUUUCCAGAAAGAUAAUCUUUUAUCAAAAUUGUGGUGUAGAAUUUUAUUUAAGUCGAUGAAACAUAUAUAUUUAAAGCAUAAUAUGAGUACAAUACUGAGCUUGCAUAUGCACUCUAUCUUUCGACAAAUAGGAAAAUCAAAUCUUUAACAUAUAAAUGUGAUUUCUAGAACAAAACCAGUGAAGCAACUAUAUUGUAUACGAGUAUUUUCUUCCUUUGAAGAUUUUAUAAUUCGAAUUUCUCAAAGAUUGUUGUAGGUGGAGAUUAGGAAGGUAACUAAGUGCAAAACUUCUUAACAACAUCAAUAUUUAUAUAACAUUAGAGAAGUUCAGUUGAUAAUCAAUUGAUAUCAUAUAAGUGUAGGUAUUAUGAGUUUUAUGAUUCUCUUAAGUUGAGCAAGCUUUUCUAAUUAAUUUCUUUAAUUAUUAUUAUUUUUGAUGUUUUGACACGAUGUUUCUACGUUUGAUUUAAUCAUAACGAAGAAACUACAUAAUAACAUAGAGAAAAUAAUUUUUUGCAGUAAUUGCGUAUCGUUAUAAUGAUAUAUGCUCUUUUGGACAGUCAGCGAGUGAAACAAGGAUAUAUGCUUAGGGGAGGUUAGAUGGUUAAGCUAGCGUUUCUUGCUUAUUAGUAUGUAUUUUAAUCGUUUCUUAUAUCCUUUGAGUUUGGUUAUUAUUGGUUGCUAGUGGAACAAAAGGUGGAAGCAACAAGGAUGAGUGAAUAAAGUUUUUUUUUUUGAGAAAACAAAAAGAAAUCAAUAGAGAACAAACAAACCAAAAAGUGGCGCAAAAAACAUAGGAAAAAGGCAGGAAUAAGAGAACAGACGAAGAGGGUGAGUAUAAAAACCAUUUCAAGAAAAAAAUUGAGGAGCAAAAGAGAGGCAACAAAACAAACAAGAGAGGAGAUUAGUGAUAGAAACAAAGAGGAACAACAAUAUAGGAGAUUAGGCUAGAAAAAAAGAGGAAUACGAGGAAGAAUAGGGGAAAACUAUCUAAAUCCACCCGAAACCACCAUCGAAACACACUCAAAACUCAUAGUCAUCAAUUCUAUUUCAUGCAACAAAAAGAUUAUGUUCUUUACUAGUGGAUUCAUGACUAUUGGAUGGUACUUUUAGAUGAAUUUUUGCAAGAAAAUAAGUUGUUCGGGUUUUGUGAAGUGUCAUUGGAGGAAUACAAACAAUAAUAACAUAUUUACUGUAAUUUCACAAGCAGGGUUCAGAGGAUAAUUUAUACGCAACCUGUUCUCUUUCAUGUGAAGGUAGAGAGGUUAUUUUUAAUAAAUCCUUAGGGAAAUGAAAAUAUUAAUAAAGAUAUUCUAUAAUUGUAAUCAUAAUAUUUUGUCUAACUGAGGAUCUUGAUGAUUCAAUAUACCCGAAGACAUUUUCCAGCAAACAAAGAUUAUUUAGCUAUAAAAGUCGUCCCUUGGCAAGUGGAUACCGAGUCUCUGCAAUUGGUGUGGUGGAACUUCAUGGGUAAUAGCACUCGAAAUUUGAUAUCUCUUACAUUUCAAUACAGUUCACAUAUCGAUUCUUGGCGUGAACACAACUGUAAUAUAACAGUUUGCAAUGUCAACUUCUGAGACGAGAGACAAUUACAAAUAUGUUCUGUACAAUGAUGGUCUAUCUCUGAUUUAAUAUAUUGAAUUAGCUUAUUAUAUUGUUCUAAGAUAAGAAAAUGUCUUAGCUUCAACAUCCUGAGAGGCUCAAAAAAAUUGCCACCAUGGUGUUAACUAGAAUUGACGUUAUUAAUAUAGCUAUUUAUAAUCUGUGUUUGAUGAGACUUUGAGAGAUUGAAUGAAAGUAUAGAAUCAUAUGUUCUUGGGAGGACGUCAGAUUUGUGACAAUGAGUGUUGAUUUAGCAUAAAUUAUGUGUACAUUUUCAGUUGAAUGCAGUAGGUAAAUGAUUGAAUAUGAAAAAAAAAUUAAUACUUUGUAUCAUUUCAUGUAAAGUUUAAUAUUCAAUACUUUGCUUAAAUAAAAUUAAUACUAUACAAUAAUAUUUUUUUUUGAAUUAACAACCACGUGCAACUCAAGUUGUCCUAAACUAGUAUAUAUAUAUAUAUAUGUGCGCGCGUGUGUUGUUCCUCCUUCUGUGUAAUUAUAUAUACUAAAAUUAGUAGUGAAGACGGUGUGAACUACCAUUUGAGACUUUUCUACUUGUAGGUGAUGUGCUCAUAAUAUAUUUUACUUAUAUUAUUUUUGCAUUGCUCAGUGGACUUAUUGUACCUACUGAGUACAAGUGAACUGUACUCACCCUCACUGUGCCCUUUAGGUGCUGAUCCUUGUACGGGCACUUCAUAUGGUGGUAGACUUCAUGCGGUGGAGUUGGUGACACUUCUAGGUACUGGCUCACUCUAGGCUUUUUCAGAGCCGACUUCAGACCUCCUCUAUCUAUUAAUUGUCUUUACUCCUAUUUCAG
rnacentral:lncRNA from 1 species